GGGUUGUGAGGUUAAGCGACUAAGCGUACACGGUGGAUGCCCUGGCAGUCAGAGGCGAUGAAGGACGUGCUAAUCUGCGAUAAGCGUCGGUGAGGUGAUAUGAACCGUUAUAACCGGCGAUUUCCGAAUGGGGAAACCCAGUGUGUUUCGACACACUAUCAUUAACUGAAUCCAUAGGUUAAUGAGGCGAACCGGGGGAACUGAAACAUCUAAGUACCCCGAGGAAAAGAAAUCAACCGAGAUUCCCCCAGUAGCGGCGAGCGAACGGGGAGGAGCCCAGAGCCUGAAUCAGUGUGUGUGUUAGUGGAAGCGUCUGGAAAGGCGCGCGAUACAGGGUGACAGCCCCGUACACAAAAAUGCACAUACUGUGAGCUCGAUGAGUAGGGCGGGACACGUGGUAUCCUGUCUGAAUAUGGGGGGACCAUCCUCCAAGGCUAAAUACUCCUGACUGACCGAUAGUGAACCAGUACCGUGAGGGAAAGGCGAAAAGAACCCCGGCGAGGGGAGUGAAAAAGAACCUGAAACCGUGUACGUACAAGCAGUGGGAGCCUCUUAAUGGGGUGACUGCGUACCUUUUGUAUAAUGGGUCAGCGACUUAUAUUCUGUAGCAAGGUUAACCGAAUAGGGGAGCCGAAGGGAAACCGAGUCUUAACUGGGCGUUAAGUUGCAGGGUAUAGACCCGAAACCCGGUGAUCUAGC
rnacentral:rRNA from 1 species